GACAGAGGUGCCGAGCGUUAGGCGGAAUCACUGGGCUUAAAGCGUGUGUAGGCGGGCCGUUAAGUGUCUUGUGAAAUCCCCCGGCUCAACCGGGGAAUUGCUGGGCAUACUGGCGGUCUUGAGCGAUCUAGGGGCAGAUGGAACAAGUGGUGGAGCGGUGAAAUGCGUAGAUAUCACUUGGAACGCCAAAGGUGAAGACAGUCUGCUGGGGAUCUGCUGACGCUGAGACACGAAAGCCAGGGGAGCGAACAGG
rnacentral:rRNA from 1 species